ACUGCUACAUACAAAAUAUAAAAUAUCGCGAUAAGUUUGGGUAACGAUAUCAUUUUCUUGAGUAAAGAGUGACUCUAAGAGCCGGUCCAGGUCCAGUGCGGGCUGGGCUAUCGUCUGGUGCCCAAAAAAAUCAGGGACACCCAAAUUAUUUCAGGUGUUAUAUUCAUAUAUAAUUUCAUAAAAGUAUAAAUUUAUAAAAUUUGGUUAAAUAACCAAGAAGUUUAACUAGACUUAGUGGUUUAUUUUGUUUAAAAUUAAAAAGAAGGUCCCGAGUUCAAAUUGCUAUAUUUUUAUUCACUUUCUAAUUUUUAUAGGAAACUUUAACAAAAAGCUCUUGGUACUGUUCACUUUAAUGAAAAAUCAUAUUUUUACACUAAAAAGUCAAUCCUAGUACUAUUCACUUUACCCUUUAUUUUGUUCUUAUUGUUAAAACUCAAAGU
rnacentral:lncRNA from 1 species